GAUUCUAAUGGGUGUUGAAUCGUGAAAUAUUUCUUUAUUGAUUCCGAGAUGAUUUCACAUGAUUUGUUUUGGGCUUAAGUUGUCUUCUUCGCUUUAUUUUUCUCAAAUGGUAGUGAAGGUUUUGUUUCCAAAGUGAUUUAGUGCUUAUUAUUAAAAUCGUCUCUCUGUUUGUUUCUUCCAAAUUGGUGAUCAUUGUGCUCGCCUCGAGUUUUAGCGUUUUGUUUUUCACUAGAUAGUCAUGAUACUGCUCUAUUCUUAUUUUUGUUGAAAUAGCACCCAUGCUUUCGUCAUGUGUUUGGAUGGUGCCGAAUGAAU
rnacentral:lncRNA from 1 species